rnacentral:rRNA from 1 species
GACGAACCGUGCGAACGUUAUUCGGAAUCACUGGGCCUAAAGCGUGCGUAGGCGGCUCAGAAAGUUGGGUGUGAAAUCCCUCGGCUCAACCGUGGAAUUGCGCCCAAAACUACUGGGCUUGAGGGAGUUAGAGGUGAGCGGAACUCACGGUGGAGCGGUGAAAUGCGUUGAUAUCGUGAGGAACACCGGAGGCGAAAGCGGCUCACUGGGGCUUCACUGACGCUGAGGCACGAAAGCUAGGGGAGCAAACGGG